rnacentral:misc_RNA from 1 species
GAUGAAGAACGCAGCGAAAUGCGAUAAGUAAUGUGAAUUGCAGAAUUCAGUGAAUCAUCGAAUCUUUGAACGCACAUUGCGCCCGCCGGUAUUCCGGCGGGCAUGCCUGUUCGAGCGUCAUUUCAACCAUCAAGCCCUGGGCUUGUGUUGGGGACCUGCGGCUGCCGCAGGCCCUGAAAUGCAGUGGCGGGCUCGCAAGACACACCGAGCGUAGUAGCUUACAACCUCGCUUUGGGAGUGCUGCGGGUGCUGGACGUAAAGCGACCUUUGCGUCUUUAGCACUAGGUUGACCUCGGAUCAGGUAGGAGGACCCGCUGAACUUAAGCAUAUCAAUAAGCGGAGGA